rnacentral:rRNA from 1 species
CUGACUGCUAUCGGAUUGGUACUAAGCCAUGCGAGUCAUUGUAGCAAUACAAGGCGGACGGCUCAGUAACACGUAGUCAACUUAACCUAUGGACGUGGAUAACCUCGGGAAACUGAGAAUAAACCGCGAUAGAUCAUUUAUGCCUGGAAUGGCUUAUGUUUCAAACAAAUUUAUUGCCGUAGGAUGGGACUGCGGCCUAUCAGCUAGUUGGUGAGGUAAGGGCCCACCAAGGCUAUACCAGGUACGGGUUCUGAGAGGAGAAGCCCGGAGAUGGGUAUUGAGACACGGACCCAGGCCUUAUGGGGCGCAGCAGGCGAGAAACUUUAGCAAUGUGGGAAAGCAGGAUUAGGCUAAUCCGAGUGAUUUCUGUUGAAGAAUUCUUUUGUCAGUCGUAAAACCACAGACGAAUAAGGGGUGGGCAAGUUUGGUGUCAGCCGCCGGGGUAAUACCAGCCCCUGGAGUGGUCAGGAGGUUUAUUGGGCCUAAAGCUUCGGUAGCGGGUUUUGCAAGUCUCCGGUUAAAUCCAGCUGCUCAACAGAUGGGCUGCCGGAGAUACUACACAGUUAGGGAGCGGGAGAGGCAGACGGUAUUCUGUGGGUAGGGGUAAAAUCCAUUGAUCCAUAGAGGACCACCAGUGGGGAGGGCGUUCUCCCAGAACGCGUUGGACGGUGAGGGAUGAAAGCUGGGGGAGCAAACCGGAUUAGAUACCCGGGUAGUCCAGCUGUAAACGAUGCAAACUCGGUGAUGCAUUGGCUUAUGGCCAAUGCAGUGCCGCAGGGAAGCCGUUAAGUUUGCCGCCUGGGAAGUACGGACGCAAGUUCUGAAACUUAAAGGAAUUGGCGGGG